CAGUCGCCGCGGGAAUACAGAGGGUGCGAGCGUUAAUCGGAUUUACUGGGCGUAAAGCGUGCGUAGGCGGCUUUUUAAGUCGGAUGUGAAAUCCCUGAGCUUAACUUAGGAAUUGCAUUCGAUACUGGGAAGCUAGAGUAUGGGAGAGGAUGGUAGAAUUCCAGGUGUAGCGGUGAAAUGCGUAGAGAUCUGGAGGAAUACCGAUGGCGAAGGCAGCCAUCUGGCCUAAUACUGACGCUGAGGUACGAGAGCAUGGGGAGCAAACAGGAUUAGAUACCCCCGUAGUCCCUGUCUCUUAUAC
rnacentral:rRNA from 1 species